CGCGGAGUAGAGCAGAGGCAGCUCGUUGGGCUCAUAACCCAAAGGACGUUGGUUCGAUUCCAACCUCCGCAA
rnacentral:tRNA from 2 species